GGGGACCUUUCGGGCCCUUGCGCUAAUAGAUGAGCCUAAGUCGGAUUAGCUAGUUGGUAGGGUAAAGGCCUACCAAGGCGACGAUCUGUAGCGGGUCUGAGAGGAUGAUCCGCCACACUGGGACUGAGACACGGCCCAGACUCCUACGGGAGGCAGCAGUGGGGAAUAUUGGACAAUGGGGGGAACCCUGAUCCAGCCAUGCCGCGUGUGUGAAGAAGGCCUUUUGGUUGUAAAGCACUUUAAGCGAGGAGGAGGCUACCUAGAUUAAUACUUUAGGAUAGUGGACGUUACUCGCAGAAUAAGCACCGGCUAACUCUGUGCCAGCAGCCGCGGUAAUACAGAGGGUGCGAGCGUUAAUCGGAUUUACUGGGCGUAAAGCGUGCGUAGGCGGCCAAUUAAGUCAAAUGUGAAAUCCCCGAGCUUAACUUGGGAAUUGCAUUCGAUACUGGUUGGCUAGAGUAUGGGAGAGGAUGGUAGAAUUCCAGGUGUAGCGGUGAAAUGCGUAGAGAUCUGGAGGAAUACCGAUGGCGAAGGCAGCCAUCUGGCCUAAUACUGACGCUGAGGUACGAAAGCAUGGGGAGCAAACAGGAUUAGAUACCCUGGUAGUCCAUGCCGUAAACGAUGUCUACUAGCCGUUGGGGCCCUUGAGGCUUUAGUGGCGCAGCUAACGCGAUAAGUAGACCGC
rnacentral:rRNA from 1 species